rnacentral:rRNA from 1 species
GACGAACGCUGGUGGCGUGCUUAACACAUGCAAGUCGAACGAUGAAGCUGGAGCUUGCUCCGGUGGAUUAGUGGCGAACGGGUGAGUAACACGUGAGCAAUCUGCCCUUCACUCUGGGAUAACUGCGGGAAACUGUAGCUAAUACCGGAUACGAGACCUUGGGGCAUCCCAGGGUCUGGAAAGAAUUUCGGUGAAGGAUGAGCUCGCGGCCUAUCAGCUAGUUGGUGAGGUAAUGGCUCACCAAGGCGACGACGGGUAGCCGACCUGAGAGGGUGACCGGCCACACUGGGACUGAGACACGGCCCAGACUCCUACGGGAGGCAGCAGUGGGGAAUAUUGCACAAUGGGCGAAAGCCUGAUGCAGCAACGCCGCGUGAGGGAUGAAGGCCUUCGGGUUGUAAGCCUCUUUUAGUAGGGAAGAAGCGCAAGUGACGGUACCUACAGAAAAAGCACCGGCUAACUACGUGCCAGCCGCCGCCGUAA